rnacentral:rRNA from 1 species
CCUACGGGAGGCAGCAGUAAGGAAUAUUGGUCAAUGGAGGCAACUCUGAACCAGCCAUGCCGCGUGCAGGAAGACUGCCCUAUGGGUUGUAAACUGCUUUUAUCCGGGAAUAAACCUACUUACGUGUAAGUAGCUGAAUGUACCGGAAGAAUAAGGAUCGGCUAACUCCGUGCCAGCAGCCGCGGUAAUACGGAGGAUCCAAGCGUUAUCCGGAUUUAUUGGGUUUAAAGGGCGCGUAGGCGGCCUGUUAAGUCAGGGGUGAAAGACGGUAGCUCAACUAUCGCAGUGCCCUUGAUACUGAUGGGCUUGAAUGGACUAGAGGUAGGCGGAAUGAGACAAGUAGCGGUGAAAUGCAUAGAUAUGUCUCAGAACACCGAUUGCGAAGGCAGCUUACUAUGGUCUUAUUGACGCUGAGGCACGAAAGCGUGGGGAUCAAACAGGAUUAGAUACCCUGGUAGUCCACGCCCUAAACGAUGAACACUCGCUGUUGGCGAUACACAGUCAGCGGCUAAGCGAAAGCGUUAAGUGUUCCACCUGGGGAGUACGCCCGCAAGGGUGAAACUCGAAAGGAAUUGACGGCUGAGACGAGACGACGGACGACACGAGGGAGGAGG